UAUCUCUGUAGAGUCUGCAUAUCAAUAAGCGGAGGAAAAGAAACUAACAAGGAUUCCCUUAGUAACGGCGAGUGAAGCGGGAAGAGCUCAAAUUUGAAAUCUUCAAGGUUUUACCUUGACGAAUUGUAGUUUAAAGAAGUGUUUUCUGUUAGAUGAGUAGCAAAAGUUCCUUGGAAUGGGACAUCAUAGAGGGUGAGAAUCCCGUAUUUGGUUAUUCAUUCUAGCUUUGUGAUACACCUUCAAAGAGUCGGAUUGUUUGGGAAUGCAGUCCAAAAUGGGUGGUAAAUUUCAUCUAAAGCUAAAUAUUGGCGAGAGACCGAUAGCGAACAAGUACCGUGAGGGAAAGAUGAAAAGAACUUUGAAAAGAGAGUUAAACAGUACGUGAAAUUGUCAAAAGGGAAGCGUUUGACACCAGUGUUGUUUUUCCGAAAAUCAAUUACGAAUGGCUUGAUUUUGUGUUGUAUUGACCUUAUCAGCUUUCUUCACUUUUUUCGAGUCUUUCUUAAUGCACUUUUCGGUUAACAAGUCAACAUCAAUUUCUUUUGUUGUAAAAGAGUAUUCGGAAGGUGGCUUUCUUUUCGGAGAAAGUGUUUAUAGCCCUAUACUUCUACAAUCGGAGAGAUUGAGGUCUGCAGCGUAGAUCCUUCGGGGUUAGAUACACUUGUGCUAAGUUGUAGCUUUUCAUAGACAACUUGUUGACUAUGUUUAGUCAUGCGGCUUACUCGCUUGUGCUAUUUUACCUACGCUUAGGAUGUUGACUGAUAUGUAGUCGUA
rnacentral:rRNA from 1 species